rnacentral:rRNA from 1 species
ACGGAAGGCAUCAGUGGGGAAUAUUGCACAAUGGGGGCAACCCUGAUGCAGCGAUGCCGCGUGAAGGAAGAAGUUCUUCGGAAUGUAAACUUCUAUCAGCAAGGAAGAAAACGGACAGUACUUGACUAAGAGGCCCCGGCUAACUACGUGCCAGCAGCCGCGGUAAUACGUAGGGGGCAAGCGUUAUCCGGAAUUACUGGGUGUAAAGGGUGCGUAGGCGGUAAAGCAAGUUAGAUGUGAAACCUCAGGGCUUAACCCUGAGCAUGCAUCUAAAACUACUGGACUAGAGUAUAGGAGAGGAAAGCGGAAUUCCUGGUGUAGCGGUGAAAUGCGUAGAUAUUAGGAGGAACAUCAGUGGCGAAGGCGGCUUACUGGGCUUUAACUGACGCUGAGGCUCGAAAGCGUGGGGAGCAAACAGGAUUAGAUACCCUGGUA